rnacentral:misc_RNA from 1 species
GAGUCGUGAAUAUUCUGAUAAAGAAUAUUCAAACAGGGACAGAGAUAGGGAUCGGGAUCCCCAUGGAAGAGACCGGGAAAGGGGCAGUGAUCGUGAUCGAGAUCGAGAUAGGUACCGUGAACGAGACCGGGAUAGGGACCUUGAACGAGACCGGCGCCAGGACAGGGACAGAGACCGAAGGUAUGAUUAUGAUCGGAGGUCCGGGUAUUCUGAGAGAGAAAGCAGAA